UACGUAGGGUGCAAGCGUUGUCCGGAAUUAUUGGGCGUAAAGAGCUCGUAGGCGGUCUGUCGCGUCUGCUGUGAAAACUCGGGGCUUAACCCCGGGCCUGCAGUGGGUACGGGCAGACUAGAGUGCGGUAGGGGAGACUGGAAUUCCUGGUGUAGCGGAGAAAUGCGCAGAUAUCGAGAGGAACACCUGCGGCGAAGGCGGGUUGCUGGGCCGACACUGACGCUGAUGCGCGAAAGCCAGGGGAGCGAACGGG
rnacentral:rRNA from 1 species